rnacentral:lncRNA from 1 species
UACGAUUUCCCAAACUCCCAACAGGUCUCAGCACCAGGGAAGAGGGUGUGGCAGCGGGGAUGAAGAGCCAGGCCUUGUGCUGACAGAGAGACCCCCAGAAAGCUGGGUCUUUUCUCAGCCAGCCAUAAGAGGGACAGCACUUAGGUCAACAGGUGUCCCAGAGACACACAGCCCCCUCCUGUGAAGGCCUAACCUUAACUGGAUAGCCAGAAGGGUAGGGGCUGCGGCAGUAGCUACCACAUCCCAAGCCUGGGGUCCUCCAAGCAAAAUUCAUUCACCAGUCCUUCCUAAACAAGAUUACUGGGAACCUUUCGCAUGAGACAAAGCAGAGGACAUUCAUCCAUGAAUUCAAACUACUGCAUUAUAAUCAAACAGCAGCACCAGCUGGAUCUCCAAGAACCACAGGCCGGAACCACUUCACCGGGAGGUCUGGAGAACAAGGACAGAGUGAAGAGUUGCCAAGUGGCACUGGUUUAGGAUUCCAAGUCCCGGAAAGGGGCUUCUUCUUGCACGAACUUCAUUCCAAGACAAGAAACUUGGGUUACAAUGAUGUAGGAUAUCCACCUUUGGCCAGCGUCUCCCCUGAUUCCGUAGGGGUGGUGGCAGUUUCAGGGUCUAAGGUGUUUCUUCCAGGCUGUGUUUGACCGCAGCAUCCAGGCUCCCUAAGCUGUAACCAGCCUGUUUUCUUUCCUCUUCAUCCGCCUGGCAAGGUUCCUUGUUUUCUCCGCAACAACACCUGUAAAGCACUUACCAGCUGCCUGGCACUUAGCCAGCCCUCGACGCGGGAAGCUCUUUGGCUUGUGGGAAUCUCCUGGAAGCCUUGCCAGGAAGCCAACUUCUCUGAAGCCAAAGGAAGAUCUUAGGAAUCACCAGCUCCCCUGCCCAGGCCAAAGCCAGCGGUCUCCGUUGGAACUCGGGUAGGAGG